AUUGAACGCUGGCGGCAUGCUUUACACAUGCAAGUCGAACGGCAGCACGGGGGCAACCCUGGUGGCGAGUGGCGAACGGGUGAGUAAUGCAUCGGAACGUGCCCCGUCGUGGGGGAUAACACAUCGAAAGAUGUGCUAAUACCGCAUACGACCUGAGGGUGAAAGCGGGGGACCGCAAGGCCUUGCGCGAUAGGAGCGGCCGAUGUCUGAUUAGCUAGUUGGUGGGGUAAAGGCCUACCAAGGCGACGAUCAGUAGCUGGUCUGAGAGGACGACCAGCCACACUGGGACUGAGACACGGCCCAGACUCCUACGGGAGGCAGCAGUGGGGAAUUUUGGACAAUGGGGGCAACCCUGAUCCAGCCAUGCCGCGUGCGGGAAGAAGGCCUUCGGGUUGUAAACCGCUUUUGGCAGGAACGAAACGGUGCGGGCGAAUACCCUGUGCUAAUGACGGUACCUGCAGAAUAAGCACCGGCUAACUACGUGCCAGCAGCCGCAGUAAUAC
rnacentral:rRNA from 1 species